rnacentral:rRNA from 1 species
UACGAGGGGGGCGAGCGUUGUUCGGAAUUAUUGGGCGUAAAGGGUGCGUAGGCGGCCUGACAAGUCUGAUGUGAAAUCCCUGGGCUCAACCCAGGGCCUGCAUCGGAAACUGUCGGGCUUGAGUAUGGGAGAGGUGAGUGGAAUUUCCGGUGUAGCGGUGAAAUGCGUAGAUAUCGGAAGGAACACCUGUGGCGAAAGCGGCUCACUGGACCAUUACUGACGCUGAGGCACGAAAGCUAGGGAGCAAACAGG